rnacentral:rRNA from 1 species
GAUGAACGCUGGCGGCGUGCCUAACACAUGCAAGUCGAACGGACACAUGAGGAGUUUUUUCUUCUGACGUUGGCGGGGGGCGGGUGGGUAACAAGUGGAUAACAUACUUCUACGCCGGGGGUGACUACGGGAGGCAAGAGCUGCUACUACAUAAUAUAUUGUACGGCUGGGAUCAGUGGUGCUUGGCAGUUUUGGUGUUACUUGUAGAUGUUUCCGCGCUGCAUUAUCUAGUUGGUAAGGUAACGGCCUACCAAGGCAACGUAGCGUAGCUGACCUGAGAGGGUGAUCGGCCACACUGGAACUGAGACACGGUCCAGACUCCUACGGGAGGCAGCAGUGGGGAAUAUUCGGCAAUGGGCGAAAGCCUGACGGAGCCACGCCGCGUGAGUGAGGAAGGUCUUCGGGUUGUAAAACCCUUUUAUUAGGGAAGAAAAGCUGUGGAUGUAUCUAUGCCCGUUGUGACGGUACCUAAUCAGAAAGCCACGGCUAACUACGUG